GGGCUCCCCGCGCGGUGACCGUCGAGGUGACCUGCACCUGGCUCCAUGGCGGAACCGGCUGGCACGGAUUAUUCCCCUCUCGGGAGAGGUCUGCAGCCGGGCUUCAGUGCUUCAGUUCGUGGCCUGGCAUUUUGUGAAGAGUGUCUUCAUCUCUGCAUCCCUAGUGCAACAGAGCAUGAUAAAAAUUCAAUAAAUAUUUAUUGAAGAGUCUUGUUGUCUUUUGGGAAAGGAACUCUAUGGUUACCUUUACUCUAAGGCAUUGUGAAGACCCUGUUUCUCUAGCUGUGCAGCCGCAAGGUCACUAGGCAGAUAAACUCAAGCCAUAAAACAUGUUUUUCCUUGAAAAAUUAGAUGGGUGUUACUGAUUCUUACCUCAGAGAAGAGAAUGUCAUGGAGACAAAAUGAUCUGCUUAGAGUUCUGCACCCCCCAGCAUGGAGAGCAGAGCGCAAAGAUUUCUUCCGGACUCUCACAUUCCCCUUGGAAUCCAAGAACUGGUCUACUGUCACAACACUUUAGUACCCUCUUAGAUGGGGAUCUCACUCUGUUUCCCAGGCUGGUCUCAAACUCCUGGCUUCAAGCAAUCCUCCUGCUUUGGCCUCCCAAACUUCUGGGAUUACAGAUAUGAGCCACCACGGCUGGCUGACAGGCACCAAAUUCUAGGAGAGGACUUCAAUAGACUCCCAAGGAGGCAGCAGAAACUGGGGUAAUCACAACGGUCAACAGCAGCAAAGGCAGCACUUUCUG
rnacentral:antisense_RNA from 1 species